UUAAGGGGUGCCCGCCGUGCUGCGGGCUGAGAACAGACCCUCCGACCUGAUCCGGAUAAUACCGGCGUAGGGAUAAAG
rnacentral:ncRNA from 1 species